rnacentral:rRNA from 1 species
UCGAACGGUAACAGGCCGCAGGUGCUGACGAGUGGCGAACGGGUGAGUAAUGCAUCGGAACGUGCCCAGUCGUGGGGGAUAACGCAGCGAAAGUUGCGCUAAUACCGCAUACGAUCUAUGGAUGAAAGCGGGGGACCGUAAGGCCUCGCGCGAUUGGAGCGGCCGAUGUCAGAUUAGGUAGUUGGUGGGGUAAAGGCUCACCAAGCCGACGAUCUGUAGCUGGUCUGAGAGGACGACCAGCCACACUGGGACUGAGACACGGCCCAGACUCCUACGGGAGGCAGCAGUGGGGAAUUUUGGACAAUGGGCGCAAGCCUGAUCCAGCAAUGCCGCGUGCAGGAAGAAGGCCUUCGGGUUGUAAACUGCUUUUGUACGGAACGAAACGGUCCUGGUUAAUACCCGGGGCUAAUGACGGUACCGUAAGAAUAAG